rnacentral:rRNA from 1 species
CCUACGGGCGGCAGCAGUGAGGAAUAUUGGUCAAUGGGCGGAAGCCUGAACCAGCCAAGUAGCGUGCAGGAUGACGGCCCUACGGGUUGUAAACUGCUUUUAUACGGGACUAACGCGCCUUACGUGUAGGGCUUUGCAUGUACCAUAUGAAUAAGGACAGGCUAAUUCCGUGCCAGCCGCCGCGGUAAUACGGACGGUACGGGCGUUAUCCGGAUUUAUUGGGUUUAAAGGGAGCGUAGGCCGCAUGUCAAGCGUGCUGUGAAAUGUCCGGGCUCAACCCGGGCCUUGCAGCGCGAACUGGCGUGCUUGAGUCCGCGGAAAGCAGGCGGAAUUCGUGGUGUAGCGGUGAAAUGCUUAGAUAUGACGAAGAACCCCGAUUGCGAAGGCAGCUUGCUGCAGCGGAACUGACGCUGAGGCUCGAAAGCGCGGGUAUCGAACAGGAUUAGAUACCCUUGUAGUC